rnacentral:rRNA from 1 species
GAUGAACGCUGGCGGCGUGCCUAAUACAUGCAAGUCGAGCGAACGGACGAGAAGCUUGCUUCUCUGAUGUUAGCGGCGGACGGGUGAGUAACACGUGGAUAACCUACCUAUAAGACUGGGAUAACUUCGGGAAACCGGAGCUAAUACCGGAUAAUAUUUUGAACCGCAUGGUUCAAAAGUGAAAGACGGUCUUGCUGUCACUUAUAGAUGGAUCCGCGCUGCAUUAGCUAGUUGGUAAGGUAACGGCUUACCAAGGCAACGAUGCAUAGCCGACCUGAGAGGGUGGUCGGCCACACUGGAACUGAGACACGGUCCAGACUCCUACGGGAGGCAGCAGUAGGGAAUCUUCCGCGACGGGGGAAAGCCUGACGGAGCAACGCCGCGGGAAUGAUGAAGGUCUUCGGAUCGUAAAACGCUGUUAUUAGGGAAGAACAUAUGUGUAAGUAACUGUGCACAUCUUGACGGUACCUGAUCAGAAAGCCACGGCUAACUACGUG